CUCCAGAUAGCCUAGUGGUUAAGGUUAUUGAUCGCCAAUCCGUAGACGGCGGGUUCGAUUCCCAUUCUGGUCG
rnacentral:tRNA from 1 species